rnacentral:rRNA from 1 species
GGCAAAAGCUCCAUUUUGAAAGCUCUUCGGAGCGUUGUAGAUUGGUGGGAAGCUAACGGCUGGUGGGAGACCAAGUCCUCUGGAACGAGGCGCCAUAGAGGGUGAGAGCCCCGUGUGUCUCCUUUACCGACCUUUCAGCCCCCUCCGCGGAGUCGAGUUGUUUGGGAAUGCAGCUCUAAGUGGGUGGUAAAUUCCAUCUAAGGCUAAAUAUUGGCGAGAGACCGAUAGCGAACAAGUACAGUGAUGGAAAGAUGAAAAGCACUUUGAAAAGAGAGUGAAACAGUACGUGAAAUUGUUGAAAGGGAAGGGUAUUUGGCCCGACAUGGGUCCUAUGCACCGUUGCCUCUCGUGGGCGGCGCUCUGCUUGGGCCUGGGCCAGCGUCAGUUUGGAGGGGGCGAGAAGGGUUUUGGGGAGUUGCCUAGCAAUUCCCCUUUGCUAGAUUGCCCCACACCGGACUGAGGACCGCCAUCUGUAGGAUGCUGGCACAACGGCCAAAUACCGCCCGUCUUGA